rnacentral:rRNA from 1 species
GUCCUAAGGUAGCGAAAUUCCUUGUCGGGUAAGUUCCGACCUGCACGAAUGGCGUAAUGAUGGCCAGGCUGUCUCCACCCGAGACUCAGUGAAAUUGAACUCGCUGUGAAGAUGCAGUGUACCCGCGGCAAGACGGAAAGACCCCGUGAACCUUUACUAUAGCUUGACACUGAACAUUGAGCCUUGAUGUGUAGGAUAGGUGGGAGGCUUAGAAGUGUGGACGCCAGUCUGCAUGGAGCCGACCUUGAAAUACCACCCUUUAAUGUUUGAUGUUCUAACGUGGACCCGUGAUCGGGGUUGCGGACCGUGUCUGGUGGGUAGUUUGACUGGGGCGGUCUCGUCCUACAGCGUAACGGCGGAGCACGACGACGGGCUCAUCCUGUGCGGACGUACGGAGGUUAGUGCA